UCAGGUCAUGUAGUGUGAACGGCACAGCGAUCUGCUGAUGUUUAAAAUCCUGUAGUGUGAACUAGGCUUAAGGGGUAGAACUGAGAUUGGACCUAAGUUGAGUCAACACAAAAAAAAACUCUGUAGCAAGUUGAGUCAAAUUUUUGGGGUAGGGGGUAGUUUUUCCUUGUUUCUGAAACUGUCCUUCGUCUGACUUAAUCCCUGUUCUGCCUCCCAAGUCUGUUGCUGUUCGCAGUGAGCCAUCAAGCAAACCAGUCACACCAAAAAAGCUGUCCAUACUGAGGUAAACGCCCUGUCAAGUUGACUUACAAUAUACUGUGAAGAAAGAGAGUAAAAUAAAGCCCCCAGACAUCUCAGACAGUGUGUGGCUGUUUCUUUUGGCCUCUGUGGAGAAAUGAAUCCGGUGAAACACUCUUACUUAUUUUAUUUGUCUGCUGAUGUUUUUUAACACACACACACACACGCUAUUAAUUUUUUGGG